GUCCCCAUUGUCCCCAUGUCCCCAUGUGUCCCCAUUGUCCCCAUGUGUCCCCAUUGUCCCCAUGGCCUCAUGUGUCCCCAUUGUCCCUACAUGUCCCCAUUGUCCCCAUGUCCCCACAUCCCCCCAUGUCCCCAUGUGUCCCCAUGUCCCUGUAUGUCCCCAUGGGUCCCCAUUGUCCCCACAU
rnacentral:lncRNA from 1 species